rnacentral:snoRNA from 1 species
UUCAAUGAUGAAGGAAAUUUUAUUCACACUGUACGAGACGCAAGUCUGUGAAUUUAAACAAAAUAUACUGAUUUAAUGAAUCUGAUG